rnacentral:rRNA from 1 species
UACGUAGGGGGCAAGCGUUGUUCGGAAUUACUGGGCGUAAAGGGCGUGUAGGCGGUGCGGUAAGUUGGGCGUGAAAUCCCCGGGCUCAACCCGGGGCGGUCGUUCAAAACUGCCGCGCUAGAGUGUGGGAGAGGGAAGUGGAAUUCCCGGUGUAGCGGUGAAAUGCGUAGAUAUCGGGAGGAACAUCAGUGGCGAAGGCGGCUUCUUGGCCCAAUACUGACGCUGAGGUGCGAAAGCGUGGGGAUCAAACAGG